CUCUCUCUCUCUCUCUCUCUCUCUCCUUCCUCUUUAAUCUCAAAUAUUUAUUAAGGUCUAAUAAGAACUCUUUUCAGUUUAUCACAGAAUGUUUAGGCACAGAUGGAAGAAAUAUUUGGUAAAACAUUUCUUCAACUCACCUUGGACAACUAAGGAAAUUGUUGCAGCUGCUAUUUUCCUUAUGCUCACUUUCGUACAGACGGUGUGCUCUAUUAUCUCUGCUGCGCAACAAUAAUUCUAGCAGGAAGCUAAUUUGGGGUCUCAUCAAAGAAGGGAUACUAGGAAAGCCUGUGAAUACUUAUCUAACAAAUAAAGCUGUGUAGGUCUACCAACUAAGAAGUUGCUUUGCCCUGAUCUCUCUGCAUUUCCAUAUGAAAAGCAUGAUUUGAAGAAGUGCCCCUGCUAGCUAGGCCCAUUGCCAAGCUCCUGAAAUGAACUGAAAUACGUAAAUCCAUCAAAGUCUUUCAUUCUUUCAAGUGUUCAUAUUUAACGAAUUCAAACUGUAUGUAUCAAACUGUACGUUUUCUUGCCAAGACUUUUAUUUGGCUGAAAAUAUUGUUAUAAUUGUAUAUGAUACUAAACUAUUUCUCA